rnacentral:rRNA from 1 species
GACGAACGCUGGCGGCGUGCCUAAUACAUGCAAGUAGAACGCUGAAGGAGGAGCUUGCUUCUCUGGAUGAGUUGCGAACGGGUGAGUAACGCGUAGGUAACCUGCCUGGUAGCGGGGGAUAACUAUUGGAAACGAUAGCUAAUACCGCAUAAGAGUAGAUGUUGCAUGACAUUUGCUUAAAAGGUGCAAUUGCAUCACUACCAAAUGGACCUGCGUUGUAUUAGCUAGUUGGUGGGGUAACGGCUCACCAAGGCGACGAUACAUAGCCGACCUGAGAGGGUGAUCGGCCACACUGGGACUGAGACACGGCCCAGACUCCUACGGGAGGCAGCAGUAGGGAAUCUUCGGCAAUGGACGGAAGUCUGACCGAGCAACGCCGCGUGAGUGAAGAAGGUUUUCGGAUCGUAAAGCUCUGUUGUAAGAGAAGAACGAGUGUGAGAGUGGAAAGUUCACACUGUGACGGUAUCUUACCAGAAAGAGACGGCUAACUACGUG